rnacentral:misc_RNA from 1 species
CGUGGGGAGUUCGUAUUGAGCCCGGAGAACCGUUAACGGAACUCACGUUGCGGCCCGCUCCCUCCCCCCCCGUCCUCCUCCUCCCCCGCGGUGAUACGAAUAAUAAAACGGCGCUGGUCGAGUCGAGGCGGUGCCGGAAUUCUUAUGCCGAAUCUCGGGGUUACGCACGUUUAUACGUUGAAUAUCCUCGGUUGUUUAUUGCUUUGGUUUGAACCGACGAAAAAAUUCACACCGUAAUCACGCCAAGACCUUUGAGUACGCGUUAAUUCGCGGGUGAUGUAUGCAUUGUCGUGUAGGAUUUACCGGGCCGAUUGAGUGACACUUGCGAUUGUUUUUUUUUUUUUGUUUGUUAUUUGUUUUUAUUUUUAUACCACGUAGGUGUAAAGAAAUUGCCCAUCGUAGGGUACUUGAACCGUUUAAAUCUUAGGUAGACGUGGGUGCGGAAUUCUGUUCAAGCGUAUCGGUGGACGGAUUCUAUAACGACGAAGUGUAGUUUUGUUUCCGUGAUCAAUCCGUUGCGGUGCGAAAAGGUCGGUGGUUGUGAUACGAUACGGGUUCGGAGUGAAGUUUGCCUCGUCAUGAACGCGGCCACGUGAUAACGCGAGGUGCGGUUCCGAGGUUGAUUUUGUAAACUUGUAAGUAAUUUGAAGUAAAAGAUAAAAACAAAAGAUAAGAAAAAACAACGUAAAGAUACUGUGCGCGAUAAUAAUAACAGAGGAUUAUUCAUAUCGGGGAAUAUUAACACGAACGGAGAAACAAGGAAAGUGAAAAUACUUCUCGACUCGUGAAUUCCCCGCUAUCUGUUUACGCGUGUUCGUUACUUCGUUAUUCCGCGUAUCGAUAACGGAGCUGCGAGCGACGAGGUUUACGAAGUAGGAACGAGGCAAGAAAAAAAAAAUAAUAAAAAAAAAAAACACUAACGUAAAAUAAUAAUCGGACGGUUAUGGUGGGCGGCGGGGGGGAGGGGAACUUGACCUCUAUCGCAAAUGACCACUAUUUCAGUACGCCGACUAGAAGCGAACAGUUUAGUCGCGUGUUUCCCGGCAUCCCAGCAACGUUGCAGCAGCUAGUCGUAGUCAUCAUAAUCAUCAUCAGCAGCAGCAGCGAUGACAUCUCUUGAAUCAACCAAGUGAUAUCAUUCCCUACUUCGUCUUCGUCGAACCUUUGGCAACGAUUUUCCGUACCGUACAGAGAUUUUUAAACACAAGCGCGCGUUUUUGUUGCGUUGCUUUUUUUUUUUUUUUUCUCAUCUCCCCCAAUUCUCUCCGAUCCUUUCGCUUUUCAUUGGAGAAAAAAAAAAACGAAGCUGUUUCGCGCAGCGUGGUGCGAAGUUUUACAAUAUAUAACACUAUAAACACGUGUAAAGCGAUCGAGUGAUAACUAACCGGAUAGUCGAAGUGCGGGAAUAAUUGGACAAGUUCGGAACGGUUAGACGAAGGGUAACGGGAAUCCCCCCCCCCCCCCCCCCCCUUGUCGCGUUCUUUUUUUUCGCCAACAAAACCACGUGGUCGCUGGUCCACGGAAUUCGGGGAAAAACGCCCGGCGACCGACGAUUUAGUCACUCACUCCGCAGUUUUACUCCGACCUCGUCAUGAGUGCCGAAGCUCAAGUGCAGCGGAGGACUGCUUCAGUUUGUGCGAAGUGGACUUGGUCCGUUUUAGUUUUAGUGGUGGUUAUUGUUGUUUGUUGUGCACCUCGAACGGUCGACGCUUACACGAACCAAUGGGCUGCCCACAUCGAGGGAGGACCCGAGGUUGCCAAGCAGGUCGCCGCCGAUCAUGGAUUCCGAUAUUUGGACAAGAUACUGGGUGACUGGUAUCACAUGGAGCACCGGUCUGUGUCGAAACGAUCGACGGAGCCACAGAAGAAGGUGCACACCCGGCUCCUGAGGGACAAUAGGGUUCUCCGAGCCGAACAACAGCGGUCAAAAUCGCGAACCAAACGUGACUACGUUGAAAGACACAGCUCGCCGACGAUGCAGAUGACCUUCAACGACGAGAAGUGGCCUGCGAUGUGGUACCUAAAUCGAGGCAACGGGCUUGACAUGAACGUGCAGGAGGCCUGGGCCGAGGACAUCACGGGCACCGGUAUCGUCGUCACAAUUCUCGACGACGGUCUCGAGAAAGAUCAUCCUGACCUGUUGAGGAACUACGAUCCGGAGGCCAGCUACGACGUCAAUGGGCAAGACGACGAUCCCAUGCCGAGGUACGAUGCGAUGGACAGUAAUCGACACGGGACCCGAUGUGCAGGCGAGGUCGCAGCUGUCGCUAACAAUUCUAAUUGCGCGGUUGGCGUAGCGUACGAUGCUUCGGUCGGAGGAGUUCGAAUGCUCGACGGGGACGUUACGGACGCCGUUGAAGCCAGAUCGCUGGCCUUCAAUUCUCAACACAUCCACAUUUACAGUGCCUCUUGGGGUCCGGACGACGAUGGGAAAACCGUUGACGGUCCCGGAGAACUCGCUACGAGAGCAUUCAUCGAGGGUAUCACCAAGGGACGCGAGGGCAGAGGCUCGAUAUUCGUCUGGGCUUCGGGGAACGGAGGCCGCGAUCACGACAACUGUAACUGCGACGGGUACACGAACAGCAUAUGGACCUUGUCGAUCAGCAGCGCAACGGAGAACGGAUUGGUUCCCUGGUACAGCGAGGCCUGCUCCUCGACUCUGGCGACGACCUACAGCUCGGGAUCAAACGGGGAAAAGCAGGUGGUCACGACCGACAUUCAUCAUCACUGCACCGGCAGCCACACCGGUACCUCGGCAUCCGCGCCCCUGGCAGCCGGCAUUUGCGCCUUGGCCUUGGAGGCGAACCUCCGGCUGACCUGGAGAGACAUGCAACACAUCGUCGUUAGGACGGCGAAACCGGCGAACCUUAAGGCGCCUGAUUGGGUCACUAAUGGCGUUGGGCGAAACGUCAGCCACAGUUUUGGCUAUGGGCUCAUGGAUGCCGGGGCGAUGGUCAAGCUCGCGAGAAGGUGGAGAACUGUGCCGGAGCAACACAAGUGCGAGGUUCCUGCGCCUAACAUCGGCCGAACGAUACCACCAAAGAGCCAAAUCACGCUGAUGCUGCACGUCAAGGAAUGCAGCGGCGUCAAUUUCCUCGAGCAUGUCCAGGCCAAGGUAUCGCUUACGGCCGGCAGAAGAGGAGAUCUUCAGAUUCAGCUCACGUCACCGGCCGGCACCAAGAGCACGCUCCUGGCGAAGAGGCUGCACGACGCCUCGAAGGCCGGUUUCAAUCAGUGGCCCUUCAUGUCCGUCCACACCUGGGGAGAACGUCCUCACGGUUCGUGGAAGCUGGAGAUCCACAACGAGGGUCGUUACCUAGCGGAGCUUGGCGAGUGGAAGCUGGUGCUUUACGGCACGAACACGUCCGUCGAAGGAGACGAGCUAGCGAUCGGCGGCUCCAAGGGCAACGUCGACGUCGACCAGAUACAGAGCAACGUCGUCGACACCGAGGGCGAUCCUUUGGGCGGAAGUCAGCGGGUGGACCAGGCCACGCACACGGAAGUGGAGCAGACGACGAACGAAGAUCAGACCAGCGGAGCUUGCAAAACCACCGCCGGGAACCAGUGCCUAGCUGACUGAGAUUUAGGUUCCCUCCGGUCGAGUCACCGACGGCGAUGUGCUGUGGAAUUUUCAGCUUACGACCCGCCACGUCCAACGCGUCUGCAACCAAACUGACCCAUCCUAGACCGCUUCACCGGCACGAGUGUCGGAAGGGGUGGUUCCUCUUGGACGACGGGUGCGUCAGCCAAUGCCCCUCAAAGACUUAUGCAAUAUCGAACGAAAACAAGAUGAGCAGUGUUUGCGCCCCGUGUCAUUACACCUGCGCGGGAUGCUCAGGAC